UACGUCCGUCCCGUGGACGCCCUGACCAUACGGCCCCGCACCGGGCUACCCUGGCCGCGUGCGUCUUCCCCGGGAAGGCGCAAAGCCGACAGCCGUCGCACUCCAGGGAGCCCUUACAUG
rnacentral:sRNA from 1 species